UUUUGACCUCAAAUCAGGUAGGACUA
rnacentral:rRNA from 1 species